rnacentral:tRNA from 1 species
GUGCCUGUAGCUCAGUUGGUAGAGCAGAACCCUGUUAAGGUUAAGGUCGUAGGUUCGAACCCUACCAGGUACGCCAAAU